AAACGAAUAACUAGUUCUCCAGGUGAGAGGUAUCCAUGAAGGUAAGGGAGUAAGGGACACAGGUUUUUAUAGAUCAAGAAUGAAGAGUUCAAGCCAUAUGUUAUGCUAGUGAGCGAAAGGAAGGUUGGAGGCCAUCUAGCCGGUCUGAACCCAUUGGCAAUCCUAAGAGGUUAAAAACUUCAAGGAAAAUGAUAUGCUACAUAUGAGCACAGCUCAAUAUAAACGGGCAUAUGAUGUUCUACUGUGUUACCAUAUAAUAUACUAUUUUACUGAAUAUUUUUACUUAUCUAAUAUUCAAGGCAUCCGAUGUAACUAAGUGAAAUAUUAUAUGCAAUUCAGCAUAGGUCAAAUUCUAAAUGCAUGCUCUUUCAUGGACGCAGCUGAGAAUUUCCAAGAAUCAGAUGCACUCAAACUUGCUUAACGAUUUUUAUCGAUGUGAUGACAUGACAGUUGAGCAUUCUACAGGAAUAAAUGUUCCAACUUAGAAUUACCCUAUAGAUCAGUACCCUGGAAAAUUCCAGCAUUCUUAGAGCACGAGAAGCACCUUCCACCCAUGGGAAAAUAAAGAAAAUUGCUAAUAAAUAGACAAGAAAUCCUCCAUAACACUGAAAAUUUAUUUCUUGUUACAUUGGACAAAGCAAAAGUGCAACCAAAACUUAGAGCACAAAUAUUAGCUCAGAGAAUGGCAUAGAAUCAGUCAGUCNCUCCGAAUAAUCAAACGAAUAACUAGUUCUCCAGGUGAGAGGUAGUCCAUGAAGGUAAGGGAGUAAGGGACACAGGUUUUAUAGAUCAAGAAUGAAGAGUUCAAGCCAUAUGUUAUGCUAGUGAGCGAAAGGAAGGUUGGAGGCCAUCUAGCCGGUCUCCCAUUGGCAAUCCUAAGAGGUUAAAAACUUCAAGGAAAAUGAUAUGCUACAUAUGAGCACAGCUCAAUAUAAACG
rnacentral:lncRNA from 1 species